ACCUGACUGCUAUCGGAUUGAUACUAAGCCAUGCGAGUCAUUGUAGCAAUACAAGGCAGACGGCUCAGUAACGCGUAGUCAACCUACCCUAUGGACGGGAAUAACCUCGGGAAACUGAGUAUAAUGCCCGAUAGAACACUAUACCUGUGAUGGUUUGUGUUCCAAAUGAUUUAUCGCCGUAGGAUGGGACUGCGGCCUAUCAGUUUGUUGGUGAGGUAAUGGCCCACCAAGACUAUUACAGGUACGGGCUCUGAGAGGAGUGGCCCGGAGAUGGGUACUGAGACACGGACCCAGGCCCUAUGGGGCGCAGCAGGCGAGAAAACUUUGCAAUGCGCGAAAGCACGACAAGGUUAAUCCGAGUGGUUUCUGCUAAAGGAACCUUUUGUUAGUCCUAGAAACACUAACGAAUAAGGGGUGGGCAAGUUCUGGUGUCAGCCGCCGCGGUAAAACCAGCACCUCAAGUGGUCAGGAUGAUUAUUGUGCCUAAAGCAUCCGUAGCCGGCUCUGUAGGUUUUCGGUUAAAUCUGUACGCUUAACGUACAGGCUGCCGGGAAUACUGCAGAGCUAGGGAGUGGGAGAGGUAGACGGUACUCGGGAGGAAGUGGUAAAAUGCUUUGAUCUCUCGAUGACCACCUGUGGCGAAGGCGGUCUACCAGAACACGUUCGACGGUGAGGGAUGAAAGCUGGGGGAGCAAACCGGAUUAGAUACCCGGGUAGUCCCAGCUGUAAACUAUGCAAACUCAGUGAUGCAUUGGCUUGUGGCCAAUGCAGUGUUGCAGGGAAGCCGUUAAGUUUGCCGCCUGGGAAGUACGUACGCAAGUAUGAAACUUA
rnacentral:rRNA from 1 species